rnacentral:rRNA from 1 species
UAGGGAAUAUUGGUAAUCUGGGAAACCGGGAACCAGCAACGCCGCGUGCGCGAUGAAGGCCUUCGGGUUGUAAAGCGCUUUUUGAGGGGAUGAGGAAGGACAGUACCCUCAGAAUAAGCCUCGGCUAACUACGUGCCAGCAGCCGCGGUAAAACGUAGGAGGCGAGCGUUAUCCGGAUUUACUGGGCGUAAAGCGUGUGUAGGCGGUUUGAUAAGUUGGAUGUGAAAGCUCCCGGCUUAACUGGGAGAGGUCGUUCAAAACUAUCAGACUCGAGAGUGGUAGAGGGAGGUGGAAUUCCGCGUGUAGUGGUGAAAUGCGUAGAUAUGCGGAGGAACACCAGUGGCGAAAGCGGCCUCCUGGCCCAUUUCUGACGCUCAGACACGAAAGCUAAGGUAGCAAACGG